rnacentral:sRNA from 1 species
ACCACCGGCGGGCACCGUGUAUCCGGUCACAUUCGCGGAGUCGCCGUCGAA